CAAAGUCUCCCAAAACACUCUCACCUCAUGGCGAAACAUGUGCCAAUCAGUCUUCAGUUGACAGAGAAAGGCUAGUCACAUCCAAAGCGCACAGUGGUGUAAAUCCUCCUGUAUCUUUCCGCCAAAGCUCGCCCUGAGAGUAAAAGCUGGUACCGACUCCGGCAAUCCGUCUGGGUUCCGGGUGUGGGACACGAACCCAUGGCAGAGCCAAGGGUGGAGAAUUCGGCUCCGACUCCAGAAGUGACCCUGACACCGAACCCCAUGGACGGCGAUGAGGAGGGCAAGACUCCUCCGCCGGCUGCGGCCGCUGCCGCAGCAGCACACAUCAUGGUUUAGUAGAACAAUGCAUAUAUUACAUCAAACAUCAAACCGCUAGACCAUAACCAGCCGACAGUUACACUCCCGUUGUCAUUCACACCACUACAUGUCCCGGCAAGGGUCCAAUGCACAAUAGCGAAAUGGCACGAUUAAAAUCCAGUAUCUCCAGUAAUCAGCGUAGAUUGUAGUGUCUCUGGUGGCGGUGCGCCUGUGCUGAGAUGAGCUUCGAGUCCAGACCUACAACACAGUCCUUAUCUCCAGAAAAGCAUUAUCUCAACGCAUACCGAUUUUGGUAGUAGCGUGAUCACAGCAUAUAGUAGUAUUUCUUUUUUAAAUGGGCGUCCUGUCGUGCUUGAUUUUCAUUUCCUUCUUGAAUAUUUCUUGAUCCCGUGGAGGCAGCACCCUCAGCUGAGCUGCCAUCUUGGCUUCAUCAUCAUCAUCCCACCCCUGGCUCAAGCUUGUUUCGCAGAAAAAAAACACGACACUGCC
ensembl:lncRNA